UUUAAAAAUAGAGGAAUUUAUUGAGUUAAAGCUGAGAGGCAGGUGCAUGUGAAGUCUGCCUCCCUGAAGAGGAGCCUACAAUUUUUAUGUUUUAAAGGAACAGUCUCUGUGACCAGGAAAGGAAGAUGGGGAAGGGCGCAAACAAGGAGGACUAGGUGGCAUUCCCAUGUGAGGUGCCUUGGUGUCUGGGGUAGAAGAACAGCAUUUUCAUUAUGUUGGAUAUCACUGAAAAGUACCAGCUUAUGUUCCUUGGAGGGAAGAAUAUGUGCUCCAACUUUCCACCAACAUAAGGGAAAUCAGGAAAUGGAAAAUAAAGCUGAUCACUUAACUUGAGUGUAAUU
rnacentral:lncRNA from 1 species